GGAUAGCACCUUAGGUACCAGGAUACCAGAUCCGGGGAGUCUAGACGACUGGUUCAGACUCGGGCUCUGACCCUCCCCAGCCUGAACUGUCUCCUCUGUAAAAUGGGAUGGUUUCCAUGACAGGAGGGAAGUGAAGGGGCUCUGAAGGACACAACGCAUGACGAAGAAGUUUUGAUCAAAGCUGUUUCUCCUCCUGGUGUCAGUGCCAGUAUCCUGCUGAUCACGGAGAAGGAUGGGGAGGCCAAGGAGCCCGCCCACCAUGACCUCGGGUGUCCCGGAAGGUGACUGUGUCCCUACUUCCGAGGGCAGGAGGGAGGCAGGGAAGCUGGGACAGGGUAGGUGGUAGUUCACAGGGUGAAGGCUCUGGCCCUGGUUCUGACACCGCCUCACAGUGUGACCUCACGUGUGCCUGGCCAUCUGUGCCUCUGGACCUCCCAGCACCCUCCCAGCUCUGCCAUUGCAGUAUCUCCCAGCCUGCAGUCCUCUGAGCUGUUUUGAGAGAGAAAGAUCACUGCUGUGGGAGUUGGAGGGAGGGGCUGAAGAAUAGCCCCCAUGCACCCGGAGAUGGGAGUUUCCCUCUUCCUUUGAGCCUCGAUUUUCUUAUCUGUGGAAUGGGCAGGUUAGACUAGGUGAUCUCUAACCAUUGUCUCUUCACCCUGUCUCAGUAAAUACACACAGAGUUCAUAUUGGUGCUAACUAAACAAACAAACAUGCCUCUGCCCAACCUGGCCAGGUCUCCAGGGACAGACACUCUGGGGCACAUACAAGUGUCAGUUCUGGAUCCUGAGCUCCCCGCCCUUCUUUCUCCUUGCCAAAGCUCUCUCUCCUCUGGGUCUCCAGUGUGCUGUCUACGACGGGUCAUUUUGUCUUCGGGGGCUUCUUCUGUCUCCACCCACAGCCCUCCAUCCUCCCAAGUGAGGGAGCUGUCCACAGCUUUGUCCUUUCUAGUCCCUGUCCCCAGUGCAUGACCCACCCACAGCCAACAGCACGGGCAUAGGGCUAUUCCAUAAACAGGAGCUGGAUGAAUAUUUAAAGGGAAGUAGUAAGUAUUAUAUUAACAACUUACAUGGAUGUUGUAAUGAUCCACAGUGAAAUAUUCCCUCACCUCUUUGCGAAAUUAUCAUUCCAAACCACGGAAUACAUUAGGUUUUAUGAUCUACUCGCUUCCUUGGGGAAAUAUAAAUCUUGAAACAUCAUCUUCAUAGGACAGGGCAAAGAGUCCCCUGGGACACAAGAUGUUUAAGAACGUUAACUGAGAAUCAGAAAUAGUUUGCGAUUAAUAUCGGGGUUUUGUUUAUGGGCACAAAUAAAUCCCUGGUGUAGGGCUGACCUGUAAAAAUCUGUCCAAGAUGAAAACUCUGAUUGCAGAUGAUGGAAAUGGGGAAACAAUCUGAAUUUAAAGAGGUGAUUUGGGGUGCAGGGUUGCAGUGUUUAGGAGCUAAUAUUUUCUGACCGUAAAUUUGUAUGCUGUUCAAACAUUCCUAGUCACCCACUAAAAUAAAUAUGAUAGAGACUAGGAAUUUAUAUCAACGGUCUACAGCCAUCCAAGUUUUGUGAGUAGGUCGUGUGAAACAGGGAGGUUCUUGUUCCUAGGGUCAUUGAAAGAUCCCCCCUCAGCCCUGUUGCACCAUCACUCAGGUGAGGCCCCCGCUGUGAGAUGCUCAACGUUGGGGGGUUGUAGAGAAAGCUGUGUCAGCAUCUGGGGCCUCGGGUGACUGGAAGUAGGGGGUCCUCCUGGGAAGAGAAUUGCUUUGGGGGUGAGGAGACCCACGUGUGCCCUCUCACUCAGUAGCUCUCUGGGAGGUUAGGCAGGCUUCUUCUUUGUUUACAAUCCAUCACGGACUCCUCAUAGCUUCUCGAACAAAGUCGAACCCUCAGAAGCUCUAGCCUGGGUCAUAAAAUCCUCUGUGACUUGACUCUGCCCCUUUCUCCAGGAUCAUUUCCCAUCACACCAGGCUUUCAGGACUCAGUACGUACUCUCCACUUCUUGGUCCCUUAACCUGCAGCUUCUUCCCAGAAUAUCCUUCCUCCUUGAGCCAUUUGGUACACAAAUGGCUAUUUUUUAAAAACAGCACGAUGGUCUUCUUGUCUCUCAAGCCUUCUCAAUGGCUCCUGGGGAGAGGUAGUUUCUCCUUCCUUUGAGUUUCUGGUAAACCCUGAACAUCGCGCUCUCCCUCUGUCUUGCGACCUCCCUGUACACAGAAUUACAGAACCUACUUCCCUGCCUUACUGGUCUUGGACUUGGCCAAGGGGCUUGAUUAAACCAGUGCGAUGUGAACAGAAGAGCCAAGGCCUUAAGAGGCCAUGUGUUUUCUUUUGUGUUCUCUAGUGCUUCUUUGAUUUUCCAUGGGAAGAAUGUGUCUCUGACAGCUGCUCUCCCAAGGAGAAUAUGGAGUCACCUGGAGCCAAUCUGAAUCCAGCCCUUGUCUGGAGCCAACCCCAGCUGCCCUCAGCCUGGAGCAGAGCUGCCUUCACCAAAGCACAGACACGGUUCAUGGUCUCUCGGAGAGUUACUUCCAGUAUAUUGUUUUUCGAACUUAGCCACCAUCCACAGACAUGAGGAUGGAAAGGAAGACAGGGGUGAAUGGGAUCAGGGAACAGUGUCCCGCCACGUGGAAGACUGUGUGGACUGGCUGCAGGGUUGGGUGAGAGUCACGCCACAGUUCCACAGGCUCAAUCUAUUUUGCAAUCUCUGGGAAGCAGCCAUAGCCCCCCAAAGCCUUUGUUUUCCUGUAAAUAAACGGUGUUGGAACCAGAGGACAAUGGUGCAUCCCGUGGUGAUUGACACCAGCCACGGCUACUAAUCAGGAUGGGACUUCAUCGCCAGCUGAGUCGAGUGCAUUAUGGGGCCAUUGUUCCAACGCUGCCAGGGCAAGAACACACACAGCCAGUCACCUUCGCAAGAUGGGUUGAUUGUUCUUCAAGAUUAGACCGAGUUGCCUUAUUAUCCGUCCCAGACAACAAGGCAUCUCACCCAAACAGACGCAUGUGCAGGGAUGGCCGGUGCGCUGGCCAGAUUUGAAUUGCUAAUGUAUAAUCUGCCCGGCACAGAUGUGCAAUGAAUAUUUGGAUGUUGUUUUGCCCGUCAGUCGAAGGGGCUGAAUGGAUGAGGUGAUGAGCAUUCAGUGAUGGGUCCUGGACGUUGGCCAACAGCAGAGUUUGAGAACUUGUGCUGAUGAUAAUCAGACUACCCUGCAAAGUACCUUUGCGGUACUUUAGCAGCGAAUUCUGUUAGAGACUGGUUGGUGGAAAGUUCCCUUUCCUUUUUGGUGCAAUGAGAUGUUUUGUUAUGUGUUUCAGACUUGGAAAAUGUAUAGAAGUUGCCUUUAUCGUGCCCUCACCUACCAACACUUGAGGCUGUGAGUAAUGCCGAGCUGACUGGUUGGGUUUGAAUUCCCCGUUUUCUAGCUUAUUUGUUUAAGCUCAUUUUGCCUGUUAAAAUAUGGCUGAAAAAUUCUAUCAACCAUAUAGAGCUGCUAUGAGAAUCCAAUGAGUUGAUGUACAUAGAAUAAGCCCUAGAACAGUGCCUGGCUUAAGCGUGUGCUCAACAAAUGUUAACAGUUUCCAUAUUAUUGGUCAUUUGCUUUUUCUCAAUGUUACUGUGGUCAAGUAGAUUGGAUACAUUGAAAAUAAAGUUAAACCACGUUCAUUACGUCA